rnacentral:tRNA from 3 species
GGGGCUAUAGCUCAGUUGGGAGAGCGGAACGUUCGCAAUGUUCAGGCCAGGGGUUCGAAUCCCCUUAGCUCCACCA